rnacentral:rRNA from 1 species
AGGGGUACCCGCUGAAACUUAAGCAUAUCAAUAAGCGGAGGAAAAGAAACUAACAAGGAUUCCCCUAGUAACUGCGAGUGAAGCGGGAAAAGCUCAAAUUUAAAAUCUGGCAGUCUUUGAUUGUCCGAGUUGUAAUCUGGAGAAGUGCUUUCCGCGCUGGACCGUGUACAAGUCUCUUGGAAUAGAGCGUCAUAGAGGGUGAGAAUCCCGUCUUUGACACGGACUACCAGUGCUUUGUGAUGCGCUUUCAAAGAGUCGAGUUGUUUGGGAAUGCAGCUCAAAAUGGGUGGUAAAUUCCAUCUAAAGCUAAAUAUUGGCGAGAGACCGAUAGCGAACAAGUACCGUGAGGGAAAGAUGAAAAGCACUUUGGAAAGAGAGUUAAACAGUACGUGAAAUUGCUGAAAGGGAAACACUUGAAGUCAGUCGCGUUGUUCAGAACUCAGCCUAGCCUUGGCUUGGUGCAUUUUCUGAAUAACGGGCCAGCAUCAAUUUUGACUGUUGGAUAAAGGCCGAGGAAAUGUGGCUCCUUUGGGAGUGUUAUAGUCCUUGGUUGCAUACAAUGGUUGGGAUUGAGGAACUCAGCAUGCCUUUAUGGUCGGGGUUCGCCCACGUUCAUGCUUAGGAUGCUGGCGUAAUGGCUUUAAAUGACCCGUCUUGAAACACGGACCAAGGAGUCUAACAUGCCUGCGAGUGUUUGGGUGGAAAACCCGAGCGCGCAAUGAAAGUGAAAGUUGGGAUCCCUGUCGUGGGGAGCACCGACGCCCGGACCAGACCUUCUGUGACGGAUCCGCGGUAGAGCAUGUAUGUUGGGACCCGAAAGAUGGUGAACUAUGCCUGAAUAGGGUGAAGCCAGAGGAAACUCUGGUGGAGGCUCGUAGCGAUUCUGACGUGCAAAUCGAUCGUCAAAUUUGGGUAUAGGGGCGAAAGACUAAAUCGAACCCUUUUGGCCC